CCAAAAUACGUGACAACAUCUCUUAGCAAGAUGAAAGAUAUCUAUCUAGUUAAUGUUAAGAAAUAAGAAUUUAAUUCGUGUAGAUCAUUGAUAUGAUAUGAUAUUUUUUUGAUUUAGUCGGAUACAAAGUUGUACAUAGUACAUACCAAUAUCGCAAUAUACAUAUCAUCAUCUUAAAAUGUUGUCUUAUAUAUGUGUUAAGAAAGCAUUUACAGAUUGUGUCGUGUAUUCACAAUCAUACAGACAGAAAUCUUUCUGCACUUUCAAGAAUCCAAAUCAAUAAACAAGAAAUGUUUUCCAUGAGACAUUCCAGAGGCAAGCAGGGCAGGCACUCCAGGCAGGUAGCACAGGAAGCAUAAAAUAGAAAUGUCAGACAAGACAUUGUUUUUUGAUUACCGUCCUUCCACUGUUACACAUUCCGAUGACACCGGAGUUUCAAUUGAAUACUCUUCUUGACCGCUUCAAUUUACCUACUCAAUUUUUACGUCAGCAUCUGUAAAAGCAGUAAUUCUCGGUAGUAGGUGUACCCAAAUCUGUACUUUCUCCGAAGCUCCCCUAGGUUGGCAGAUCAUGUUGGCCGGAUCUGGUCGGUAGAUGUUUCAGAUUCGUUCAUUCUGAUCAGACACGGCAGUGUCGCAUCAUAGGCUCAGACGAAGCUAGUAAGUUACAAUUCCCAAUAAAUCGUAUAUCCAUUAUACUAUCAUUUUCAUCACUAAUUGUAAUUGAUCACCACCAGCACCAACUACUUCAAAAUAUAGCAAAUACAUCACAUCACUCUUCUAAAUCAGAAAGUUCCAGGAAGUUGUUGUUGAGACGACUUUUAGUAGGUAUCACUCUGAUAAUUCAAAUGUAAAACUUGAUUAAAGUAUAUAGAAAUGUAAAAUUCGAACCCUAAAGAAAACUUAUCACCAUUCAUUACUUACAUUUUAUUACCCAGACCUUCCUCUCUAGUCAUCUCCAGGUUUACUGGGGAAUACGUUAAGACAAUAUAAAUGUGAAGAAAAU
rnacentral:lncRNA from 1 species